rnacentral:rRNA from 1 species
CUGCCAGUCAUAUAUGCUUGUCUCGAAGAUUAAGCCAUGCAUGUCUAAGUACGAACAACUCGUAUUUGUGAAACUGCGAAGAGCUCAUUAAAACAGUCAUAAUCUAAUUGAUCAUCGCUACUACUAGGAUAACCGUAGUAAUUCUAGAGCUAAUACUUGCAACAACCACUGACUCUAUUUUCGAAUGAGAAAGUGUGUAUUUAUUAGAUUCAAACAUCAACUUCCAUCAGCAAUGGUGGAACCUUAUUCUUGAUGAAACUAGAUGACUAACCGAUCGUAUGGCCUUGAGCCGACGACAGAUCACUAUGGAUUUCUGAUCUAUCAACUUUGGACUGCGAUGUCGUGGACCGCAGUGGUGUUGACGGGUAACGGAGAAUCGUAUGGUUCGAUUCCGGAGAGGGG